rnacentral:rRNA from 1 species
UUGUGCUUGCACAGAUGACGACCGGCGCACGGGUGCGUAACGCGUAUAGAACCUACCUUUUACAGAGGAAUAGCCUUUAGAAAUGAAGAUUAAUGCCUCAUAGUAUUGUAGACUGGCAUCAGUUUAUAAUUAAAGAUUUAUCGGUAAAAGAUGGCUAUGCGUCCUAUUAGUUAGUUGGUAAGGUAACGGCUUACCAAGACAGCGAUAGGUAGGGGUCCUGAGAGGGAGAUCCCCCACACUGGUACUGAGACACGGACCAGACUCCUACGGGAGGCAGCAGUGAGGAGUAUUGGACAAUGGAGGAGACUCUGAUCCAGCCAUGCCGCGUGUAGGAAGAAUGCCCUAUGGGUUGUAAACUACUUUUAUACAGGAAGAAACACUGGUAUGUAUACCAGCUUGACGGUACUGUAAGAAUAAGGACCGGCUAACUCCGUGCCAGCAGCCGCGGUAAUACGGAGGGUCCGAGCGUUAUCCGGAAUCAUUGGGUUUAAAGGGUCCGCAGGCGGUCGAUUAAGUC